rnacentral:rRNA from 1 species
AUUGAACGCUGGCGGCAGGCUUAACACAUGCAAGUCGAGCGGAGAUGAGGUGCUUGCACCUUAUCUUAGCGGCGGACGGGUGAGUAAUGCUUAGGAAUCUGCCUAUUAGUGGGGGACAACAUUCCGAAAGGAAUGCUAAUACCGCAUACGUCCUACGAGAGAAAGCAGGGGAUCUUCGGACCUUGCGCUAAUAGAUGAGCCCAAGUCGGAUUAGCUAGUUGGUGGGGUAAAGGCCUACCAAGGCGACGAUCUGUAGCGGGUCUGAGAGGAUGAUCCGCCACACUGGGACGGAGACACGGCCCAGACUCCUACGGGAGGCAGCAGUGGGGAAUAUUGGACAAUGGGGGGAACCCUGAUCCAGCCAUGCCGCGUGUGUGAAGAAGGCCUUAUGGUUGUAAAGCACUUUAAGCGAGGAGGAGGCUACUGAGACUAAUACUCUUGGAUAGUGGACGUUACUCGCAGAAUAAGCACCGGCUAACUCUGUGCCAGCAGCCGCCGUAACAC